CACGUAGGGCGCAAGCGUUGUCCGGAAUUAUUGGGCGUAAAGAGCUCGUAGGCGUCUGUUGCGUCCGCUGUGAAAACUCGGGGCUUAACCCCGAGCCUGCAGUGGAUACGGGCAGACUAGAGGUAGGUAGGGGAGAAUGGAAUUCCCGGUGUAGCGGUGAAAUGCGCAGAUAUCGGGAGGAACACCGGUGGCGAAGGCGGCUCUCUGGAACGCAACUGACGCUGAGACGCGAAAGCGUGGGGAGCAAACAGGG
rnacentral:rRNA from 1 species